rnacentral:misc_RNA from 1 species
GAUGAAGAACGUAGCGAAAUGCGAUAAGUAGUGUGAAUUGCAGAAUUCAGUGAAUCAUCGAAUCUUUGAACGCACAUUGCGCCCUUUGGUAUUCCUUAGGGCAUGCCUGUUCGAGCGUCAUUUAAACCUUCAAGCUCAGCUUGGUGUUGGGUGACUGUCCGCUUCACCGCGGACUCGCCUCAAAAUUAUUGGCGGCCGGUACAUUGGCUCUCGAGCGCAGCAGAAACGCGUAACUCGAGGUCCUCGUGCUGGCUCCCAGAAGCUAUCUUCACAAUUUUGACCUCGGAUCAGGUAGGGAUACCCGCUGAACUUAAGCAUAUCAAUAAGCGGGGGA